UGGACCACGCAGUUUCGACUGUGAGGUCAAAGCGGGCUGAUGUUUACAAGCUCGCGCUCUAGGAUGGGUCCGCGGCCCAUCAGCUAGUUGGUAGGGUAACGGCCUACCAAGGCUACGACGGGUAGCUGGUCUGAGAGGAUGAUCAGCCACACUGGAACUGAGACACGGUCCAGACUCCUACGGGAGGCAGCAGUGGGGAAUCUUGCGCAAUGGACGAAAGUCUGACGCAGCAACGCCGCGUGGGUGACGAAGGCCUUCGGGUUGUAAAGCCCUGUGGGGAGAGACGAACCGGCUCGUGGCUAAUAUCCACGGGUCUUGACGGUAUCUCCUUAGCAAGCAUCGGCUAACUCUGUG
rnacentral:rRNA from 1 species